GUUGUUGGACCUCCUCUUCCAGUCAAGAGAGUUGAGCAGAGAGCAUCUCUGACUGCGACUCUGCUUCCUCGUUGAAUCCUCAAACUCCCACAAUACAAUAGAUAUAAUCAGGGUGUUCGCCUUUUAGGAGCCCAUGAGUUAUCGAGUUCACAACACUGAACACUAUUCAGUGUAAAUCAAAACACAUAGCAAAACAAAAGGACAAAAUGACUUUAUUCGGAGGCUCCUCAACGAUUCAACACUUUUUAGUUUUCAGCUAUGGAAACCAAAAAGAAAAAAAAACUGAAAGCAAGAGUAAUGUUGUUAAAGCAUGAGGUACUGAGUCUUGGUCCUGCGCUGCAACACAAAAUAUCCAAAUGUAGAAAUGCUUCAAACCUCAUCCAUGGAGCCAAGUUUCUCUCCAUUCCUUUUAGCCUCAAUGUUAAAACUUCAAUGACAGAAAAAUUGCUUCUUCAAUUUGUGACUUCAAUUUCAUUGUCGCUGUAAUCUCCCCAGCACUUGCCUCCUUGUCCUUUCCCAUUAGAUAUCUCUUGUGCUGUGGUUUUCUCUUCACCUUCUGUCGAGUGUCCAUUUUCAGGUGUUUCUUGUGCAAUGACUUCUUCAUCCUCUGCACCUUUCUUCUCCUUGUUGCUCUCUUCUUCACCUCCACUCUUCUCCUCAGCCAUUUCAGUACCAGGUAAUCCCUCCAAAGCCACUGGUGUAUGCCCAUUCUGAGGCUGUACAGGUAUGUUACACGGAUAUGCACCUUCUGCUACUGGCGACAACGGGUACCCAUUCUGUGUUAUUUCCGUCCCAUUUGGUGAUGCCAAAUAUCCGUUUGGUGACACUGGAUAACCAUUAGAAACCCAUGGUUGACUCGGUAUGAACUCAGCCGCGUGAGGGUUCAUUAUCCUUGGGCCAAUGAAUUGAUUAGCAUCGCCAUUGGACUCAGCGAUAAUGGGGAAGCUUGGUUUGUUGCGAGGAACCCUGUUUCCAGAUCGGUUGUAACCACCACCUGAGAGCCUAGGCCCAUAUGGAACUCGAGCUGUUACAGACUGAUGAGGAGUUGACCUCCGGACAUGGUUUACAGGAAGCAUUGGCGGUAUGUUCAAUGGGGAGGGAAGGAUUCCCACGUGGUCGUUGAAUCCUGGAACUGCUAUCGACCCAAAAAUUGGAAUGGUCGUUGGGGUAUAGGGCGGUGCCGAAGCAGAGAGCUUCUUGCUCAUCUCCUUUUGUGCCUCGCAUGCUUCUUGCUUUUCUCCAUCUGCAACUACUGAUGUCUUUGGGCUUGAGUCUCCAUUGGGCAGAUCUUCCGUUUCACCAUCUACUGCUUUCAGUUCAGUACCAGAGACAUCCUUAUGUUGCUUCACUCCAUUUGAGUCCUCAGCCGUUUGUACACUUUCUGAUUUUCCUUGACUUGCAUCUGAAACAGCUGUCUCUGUUGGAGAUCCUUCUGCUGCUGCCUUUUCAGCCUUGAUAUCCUCUGGUGAACUCAUCGACUCUGAUCCACCAACAGCCACCCCUCCUUGUUCAUUGCUAUCAGCAUUUUUUGCUUCAGUUUCUGUAGUCACAUGCUUAUUCUCACUAACAACAUCCUCACCGUUAACUUUUUCAGGACCAUCUACUGCGACUUUUGCUGCAUCCAAAGUCUCUGGAGCAGUCGUUUCUUCUGGCAACUGCUCCGCAACUAUUUUCACAAUUGUUCCAGGGGGUGCCAGUGCAACUUCCUUAUAGGAAAACAGUUUUCCAGCUUGUGGAGUCACAGGACUCACCAUCAGAGUUGGCUUGUUGAUCUGUUCGGUGGAAGGUGAGCUUGCUAAGGGUGAUUUAUUGUUAACUGGCUUUUCUCCCACUAUAUUGGAACUGUUUUGCUUUCUGUUCAAACUUGAGCUCUUCAAAAGCUUCUUCGCGUGCUGGGAAGUAGAACCACCAGCAGAAAUUGUAAGCUCAUUUGAAUUAGUCCUUGGGGAUGCGAAGUUAGUGGAUUUUCCUCUGCUUUUUGUUGUCUGCUGGGUCACGUUCAUGAAGUUUGUGUUCAGCUUUGCCAGGCUGGGACGGGUUCUUCGCCCAGAAGGAUGACGAUUUUUUGGGACAGCUUCUUGCCAUCCUUCGUCAGAGUCAUCAUCCACUUGUGCCGUGGACUCUAGCUUAACCAGCGUCAGCUGAUCUUGAGGUUGCAAAUCAAGUUUAUCAACCUUUGUUUCUUCAGGUUUUGCAUCUGAUUUGUUCUCCUUGUCACUUGAGCUCUCCCCAGUGAUACUAGUCGGACUCAGAAUUUCAUCAUCUUUCUGAUUAUCUUCAGACACAGGUCCUGGACUUUGUCCUGGUCUUCCCUUGACCUGAAUAAACAUUUUCGAUCAAAAUAUCUGUCACAACUUAGUUAAUGAGAGCAGUUCAGUAAAAACAUGAAUUAAGUCAGCAGAAAGCAAUUAUAACCUUUAGGCGAGCUUUCCUUUGAGCGUCCCUUGCUUUAAGAUCAGUAUCCGGGGUUAUAUAAUCUAGCAGGUCCGAUACACUGUUAUUGGGAAGAAAGCUUAUGAGUUACAUAAUCCGGACAAGAGUUUACGCAAGAUAUAACUUUAUACUAUUUCUAUCUUUUGGUCCCUAUGUACAGAAUGUAAACGGUGCUAAGAAUAUAUAAAAGGCAAACGUUUUAAUACCUGAGAUGGCCUUUGCUGGAAAUAGAGGCGUCUGGCUUGGGAGUACCAUUUCGUGCAGCUUCUUGCUGUUCCAGAGCUUUAGACUCAAAAUACUCGAGCCACGCAGCCGCAUCCUAAAACAAUUCUGGAGCGUAAGAAACUUUGUAAGUGAAACUAAAUGUAAUUAGUAGCUAAUUACGCACCUGUGUCCGAAGAUCCUCAGGGCCAAGUUUUGCCUGUAGAAUCUGUAGAGUUGUCUGCUCAUGCUGGACGCUCAAGGAGUAUGCUUCCAUCAGAGAAAGAGCAAUAGCAAUGGCAUGGUAGCUUGCAGCAGUCUGAAAAAAAUAUAUAACAGAAGUAGUUCAAUUCUCAAGUGCAUCGCUUAAGCUUCCACAGUAAAAUUUACCAUUUAAAUGCAAGUCCUUGCAGCAAAACCAACCUGGAUAUGAUCAGCUCCAAGUAGUCUCUGGUUACAUUUCAACGCUUCAUGAAGGUAUCUUAAAGCCACAUGGACAUUCCCCAAACCUUCUUCCAUCAUCGCUACAUUAAUAUAAGUGGCAGCAGUAUUUGGAUGUGACGGUCCACAUGUUAGAUGCAGAAGGUACAAUGCACGGUUGACAUAUCUACAACAAUAAUAACAUGUUAGCAGCUCGAAACAACUAAUUUUUAGGCUUUGGCUUUCGGAAACGCAGAGAGCAUACUUUAAAGCUAAUUCUGUGUGCUGGAGACGAUAAUAGAAGACGGCCAGGUCGCCGUAGCUUUUCAUUGUGUCUGGAUGAUCAAGUCCAAGCUCCCUUUCAUUUAUGUCGAGUGCUUUCUGCUGAUAAAUGGUAGCCUGAAAAAUCAAAACUGGUUAGUUGCAUGCAGUAGAGACAUUCUUCUGUACAGGAAGUAAAUGAACUGAGCGAUGACUUGGAGACGAUCCCAAAUUCUUUCGAAGUGAAUACCUGGUUAAAGUCCCCAGUAUGGUAAAGCACAACAGCAAGUAGACUAUAUGCUCCGGCGGUCAUUCUAUGAUAUGGGCCGCACACUGCUACAAGCUUCGUCAAUGCCUAUAGAGUUACCCCAGAAUAUCAACUCACUUAAACCGUUUAAAGUAAAUAAAUACAUUCAAUGAAGAAAGUAUCAGAGACAAGCUGAAGGGGUUAAGAAUGUCAGAGACAACCAAUGCCUAUUGAUUCUUUCAGUGCAUAAUCAUCCUUGCCCGUUAAAACAAAACUCACUUAUUCAUAUUUACAUGGGGUUAAGAAUGCCUACUCAGUAAGUCUUAUGCUAGUUCUAAAUAUAAAAUUGGUUGAUAAGGACAAAAGAUGGGCUUAGAAAAUAAAAAUUGUAUUCCAUUGAUUUCAGUUUGUUCGCAGAUGAAGGAUUAUAUAAUGAGUAGUGGCAGGAGAGGUCAUGCAAAGAAGGGAUCAGUGUAUUCAGACUAGUCAAGAGCUUCAUUACAUAGUUCGUAUAUAACAAGAGGAAUGAGAAAGAGAUCAGUUAUACCUUGGUACCAUAACUGACAGCAUCCUCUAGUUUUCCUUUAUCCAAGGAAGUUUUGGAUGACUCCAACAAAGUACGUCCAUCAGCGGAUGAACAUGCAACAUGCUGCACAGAAAAGCAGUAACGUUUAGUCACUUAAUAGUUUCACUUUUCUAUUAUGGCUUAUUACUGAAAUAAGAUAGAUAAACAAUGGUACCUUAUAUACAGGAACCAUACUGAUAAUAUCCAACUUCUUGAAUGGACAUGAUGUGUCCAUCUCAUAGUCUUUAGGAACAAGCUCCAGUCCAACCUAGUGAAACAACAUAUGAAAAAGAGAAUCUAAGGUUAGAAUGUCACAAUUGGAUGAAAAAAAAAAAACAGAUUGACAGUCCCAAACCUUGUGUGACAGUCCCCUAAGAAUGGAGAAUUUUCUCAAUUCCUGGCAACCUUCAUGCUUCCAAUCCCACCCAUAUCUCUUGGAAAUGAAAGUUUCUACCCAGGUCCACUUUAUCUUUUCGUCGUAUUCGCUCUCAGUGUCAGACGGUGUUCCCAAUAGGACAUUUAAGCAUGUUGCUAUUGAGAUGGCUAGAUCAGCAGCGUUUUCAACAGCUGCUACAACAGCCUGCAGUAUAUGCUUGUAUGCUCGAACAAUCAUUUCAUGGAUACAAAGGGAUUGCACAUGAGGGAGCUUGUCAGCCAGCUCGACCUAAGAUGAAAGAAGAAAAGAGUGACUACUAAAGAAACGGGCCACUUUGCUUGUCUAAGCAUAUUCCUCCAAUUUGAAGCAAAGGUACCAAAAACUAUAAUUGAAAUGGUUACCACUCUCCCCAAGGAAUGCAUCUGUAAGCCUCUGGUGUGCAUAAAGUCAGUCAGAGUUCUCCCAUCGACGGGUGAGAGUUCAAGAGAUCCAAAGUCUGCCACCUGCAAUGUAUCAAUUCGAAGUUUAUGAGGAGCUGAGGAUUAUUACUAUAGAGGGAAAAAAAGUCCAAGGAACUGACCAGUUUCGGAAGAGCGGUGUCAGUGUAGUAUUUGCGGGACAUCUCAAUCAGCUCUCUUGGUGACUGCAGGACAAGUUCAUGGAGAGAGAGUACACAAGGUAAGAUUCAUAAAAGCCAACUAGGUAAGUAGACGUCGUCUCUUAUUACUAUAUAAUAAUGUUAUCAGCUGGUGAAACAAACAAACCUUGAGAUGAAAACCAGUUUCUGAUUCUUUAAGACGCUGAUAUGCAGCUUCUGUCACUAAUUCUUUCCACAUCUUUUCCAUCUCCUCAUUUUGUUUCUCGAGUUCCUUCUGAUCCUCAGUUUCUGAUUUAUUGUCAUUGUCAACGGUAUUAGCAAGGGCAUCCUUGCCCUGUUCAGACUUGUUAGCUUUCACAUCAAUCUUCUUUUUAAUCUCCUUUAGAAGUCCACCUUGCUUUCCAAGACCCUUAACAGGUGGUUCAGGCUUAGCAUCUUCAGUGUUCUUAGAAUCAGUUUUGUUUGAAGCUUGAUUUUGCAGAUGUUGCACCCAACAAGCUCCUAAUUCCCACCUUAUAGGCUUGGUAUUCCUUGAGGGCUCAGCUUCCAAUUUCUGCAGACUGUCCUCAAAUACUUUCCUCACAAGGGACUUAACCACACGUAUUUGUUCUGAGUCUGCAUUUGGUGAUCUCUGAGCUAUGCUGGAAGGAGUUGACGACUUGUGUAACAGAGUCCUCAAGCUGAAAUGAAUAUUCAGAAAACGAUUGCUAAAUACCAUAUAUUUCCCAAUUCACAUAUAGUAUGCCAAAAUGUCAAUUAUGCCAAGAGAAAUGCAAAUAUGAGAUGCCUUUGUUGCUCGAAACUUUACACAACCAUGAGGAAUUAGUAAGACUAACGCAUAUACAACACAAGAUGAUUUUUACCUAUUUACAUUCAGUGCAUUUGCACCUCCAUCUGAUUGGUCUUCAAUGUCUAUAUCCAGUGGGAGACUGCCCACAUCCAAGUUAAAUUCAGCAGCAACCUUCACAAUAGCUGUGAAACCACAAUGUCUGACAACCACCACACCCAAGGUCGAUGUAUCCUGUAUGAUUGAAUAAAUCUCAGUAACAAAUCCAGCAAGAGGAAACUAAGAAAAUUAGCACAAGCUAUAACAAAAUUACAUGAACCGUCGCACUCUCAUCAGCAGUGAUCCCUUUAAGCAAAUUUCUCUGAGCAAGUUCUUCCUGAGAGAUCUCUAGAACCCGAGUCCCAUCACUCUUUCGGUCUAGCUUGGAACUGGCAUCAGGGUCAUCUCUAGCAGGAAAGAUUAGCGCAUAGGUCAAUAAUGAUGGUGAAGAUUAUGAAGAAACAGAGCAAAGACACAUAAGAAAGUAACAAACCCAUUCUCCAGGGCAGAGAGCGCGGUAGUACUUGGCGAACCUCUCGCAAUCAACAGAGUCCUCACCCUUUGCAGUUGUGCACCUACAAAGAUGGUUUUUGUUUUUUAAACGUUAGAAUAGAUUGAAGAGCCACUAAGUAACUCAAUCAAGCAAGAGUACAUGUUGAAACUAGAAUAAGAGUUCCACCUGUGGAACUCAAUGUAACGGGUGAAGCAGUGUCUUGUCUGGUUUGUUGUAGGGAAGCGGAAAUCAGCAGGAGCAGUUUUCAGAUCAAUCUGACACAAAUAGAAAUAACAAAAACAAGUAAGACACCGAGACACACUUCCUAGUGACUGACAAAGAGGAAAACGAUAACUUCAUUUUUUUCUUUCUCUUCAGCAUAUUCUAUUGCAAUAAGAUAUAUAUUUCUUCUCAAUUAAAAAAACGUCUUCACAAUUCAAAGCUUUCAUCUCUCUUUGCCUUUUGAUUCUUAAAUCUAACUCCCGACCAUAUUGAACACACCACACGCACGCAACCAAACCAAGUAGCUAAGCUAGCUUCCAUCAAAAUAGAAUUACAUACAAAGAAUCUAAACGAUACGUAGUGACCAAAUCAGAUCUUGAAUCGAGGUCGAAUUUUCAAAACCAGAAUUUAGAUAUAUUUUUUUCCACAAUCUCCGGCGGGAAACAAAGCUAAUAUCAUUUUUUUUAUGUUGAAUAAAUAUGAAAAGAAGAACGAUUACCUCAUCCUCCAUGGCUGAUUCUGAAGAGGAACGAUGAGAAGGUUUGGUUGGUUAGGAGAAAGAGGAGACGGAGUCUAUUGAAAAUGAAUGAAGUUUGAAGAUGGCCACCAUUCUCUCCGGUGACGACUUGGAGAAGCCAAAAGGCCGCGUCCAGUGUUGGGCUUCCAUAAAUUAAUGGGCCUAAUUGUUUUUGUUGGUUCAAGUUUUUAACCAUCCGAUGGGUUAAAGUCGGUUUAGUUUAGCCGAUUUCAUUUUGGUUGUUGGACCUCCUCUUCCAGUCAAGAGAGUUGAGCAGAGAGCAUCUCUGACUGCGACUCUGCUUCCUCGUUGAAUCCUCAAACUCCCACAAUACAAUAGAUAUAAUCAGGGUGUUCGCCUUUUAGGAGCCCAUGAGUUAUCGAGUUCACAACACUGAACACUAUUCAGUGUAAAUCAAAACACAUAGCAAAACAAAAGGACAAAAUGACUUUAUUCGGAGGCUCCUCAACGAUUCAACACUUUUUAGUUUUCAGCUAUGGAAACCAAAAAGAAAAAAAAACUGAAAGCAAGAGUAAUGUUGUUAAAGCAUGAGGUACUGAGUCUUGGUCCUGCGCUGCAACACAAAAUAUCCAAAUGUAGAAAUGCUUCAAACCUCAUCCAUGGAGCCAAGUUUCUCUCCAUUCCUUUUAGCCUCAAUGUUAAAACUUCAAUGACAGAAAAAUUGCUUCUUCAAUUUGUG
rnacentral:lncRNA from 1 species